AGUGAACGCUGGCGGUAGGCCUAACACAUGCAAGUCGAACGGCAGCACAGUAAGAGCUUGCUCUUGCGGGUGGCGAGUGGCGGACGGGUGAGGAAUACAUCGGAAUCUACUUUUUCGUGGGGGAUAACGUAGGGAAACUUACGCUAAUACCGCAUACGACCUACGGGUGAAAGCAGGGGAUCUUCGGACCUUGCGCGAUUGAAUGAGCCGAUGUCGGAUUUGCUAGUUGGCGGGGUAAAGGCCCACCAAGGCGACGAUCCGUAGCUGGUCUGAGAGGAUGAUCAGCCACACUGGAACUGAGACACGGUCCAGACUCCUACGGGAGGCAGCAGUGGGGAAUAUUGGACAAUGGGCGCAAGCCUGAUCCAGCCAUACCGCGUGGGUGAAGAAGGCCUUCGGGUUGUAAAGCCCUUUUGUUGGGAAAGAAAAGCAGCAGGUUAAUACCCCGCUGUUCUGACGGUACCCAAAGAAUAAGCACCGGCUAACUUCGUG
rnacentral:rRNA from 1 species